CCAAUAGCGUAUAUUAAAGUUGUUGCAGUUAAAAAGCUCGUAGUUGAAUUUCGAGACCGGUUUACUGGUCGUGCUUUUGUACGUACUGGUAUUAUUGGUUUCUCCUUUCUGACGAAUCUUAAUGCCAUUAAUUUGGUGUUUUGGGGAAUCAGGACUGUUACUUUGAAAAAAUUAGAGUGUUUAAAGCAGGCUCACGCUUGAAUACAUUAGCAUGGAAUAACGGAAUAGGACGUUUGAUUUUAUUUUGUUGGUUUCUAGGAUCGACGUAAUGAUUAAUAGGGAUAGUUGGGGGCAUUAGUAUUCAAUUGUCAGAGGUGAAAUUCUUGGAUUUAUUGAAGACUAACUACUGCGAAAGCAUUUGCCAAGGAUGUUUUCAUUAAUCAAGAACGAAAGUUAGGGGAUCGAAGACGAUCAGAUACCGUCGUAGUCUUAACCAUAAACUAUGCCGACUAGGGAUCGGAUGAUGUUAAUUUUUUAAUGACUCAUUCGGCGCCUUACG
rnacentral:rRNA from 1 species